rnacentral:rRNA from 1 species
UACGUAGGGGGCAAGCGUUGUCCGGAUUUAUUGGGCGUAAAGAGCGUGUAGGCGGCCAGACAGGUCCGCUGUGAAAACUCGAGGCUCAACCUCGAGAUGUCGGUGGAAACCGUCUGGCUAGAGUCCGGAAGAGGAGAGUGGAAUUCCCGGUGUAGCGGUGAAAUGCGCAGAUAUCGGGAAGAACACCCGUGGCGAAGGCGGCUCUCUGGGACGGUACUGACGCUGAGACGCGAAAGCGUGGGGAGCGAA